UUAAAUUAAGAGCAUAAGGGUGAGCUUUAUGUUCAAUAAUUAAAAAAAAAUGGGCAGGCUUAUAAUUUUCUAUAAAUUAGAUUUUUUAGUGGUCAUAUUUUUAAAGUGUUUUAACUAGUAAAGUAAAAAAAAUUUAAUAGUUUUGUCCUUUAGGUUUAGCGGGGUGUUUUUUUAAAUAAAAAUAGGUUAGAGAUAAUGGGAGUAUUAGUAGAAAAUAUAAAAUGUUAAAUUGUAGUUAUAAAUUUAUUAUAAAUUUUUAAUUUAAGGAGAGAAUAAAUAAAGGAAUUCGGCAAAAUUUUUUCUUGCCUGUUUAGCAAAAACAUGUCUGUGUGAAGUUACAUGGAGUCUGACCUGCCCGUUGAAGAAGUUUGAAAGGCCGCGGUAUAUUAACUGUGCAAAGGUAGCAUA
rnacentral:rRNA from 1 species